rnacentral:rRNA from 1 species
GACCCACAUAAGAGGUCCAGCCUGCCCAGUGACUCUGUUCAACGGCCGCGGUAUCCUAACCGUGCGAAGGUAGCGUAAUCACUUGUUCUUUAAUUGUGGACUAGUAUGAAUGGCACCACGAGGGUUAUACUGUCUCCUUUUUCCAAUCAGUGAAACUAAUCUCCCCGUGAAGAAGCGAGGAUAACUAUAUAAGACGAGAAGACCCUAUGGAGCUUUAAACAUCAUAGCAACUACUACACAAUAUUUACCUUCCUGAACAUUUUAAUUUUUUUAAGUAGUCUGACUAUAAGUUUUUGGUUGGGGUGACCGCGGAGCAUAACAUAACCUCCAUGCUGAAGGAUUUAAUUCUAAGCUGAGACCUACGCCUCUAAGCAUCAGCACACUGACAUUAAUUGACCCAAUACAAUUGAGCAACGAACCAAGUUACCCUAGGGAUAACAGCGCAAUCCACUUCAAGAGCUCCUAUCGACAAGUGGGUUUACGACCUCGAUGUUGGAUCAGGGUAUCCUAAUGGUGCAGCCGCUAUUAAAGGUUCGUUUGUUCAACGAUUAAAACCCUACGUGAUCUGAGUUCA